GUGCCAGCAGCCGCGGUAAUACGUAGGUGGCAAGCGUUGUCCGGAUUUACUGGGCGUAAAGAGCGCGCAGGCGGUUGGAUAAGUCGAAUGUGAAAGCCCCCGGCUUAACUGGGGAGGGUCAUUCGAUACUGUCCAACUUGAAGGCAGGAGAGGGCAGCAGAAUUCCCGGUGUAGUGGUGAAAUGCGUAGAUAUCGGGAGGAAUACCAGUGGCGAAGGCGGCUGCCUGGCCUGUUCUUGACGCUGAGGCGCGAAAGCUGGGGGAGCAAACGGGAUUAGAUACCCUUGUAGUCC
rnacentral:rRNA from 1 species